rnacentral:rRNA from 1 species
AUAUCAAUAAGCGGAGGAAAAGAAACUAACAAGGAUUCCCCUAGUAACUGCGAGUGAAGCGGGAAAAGCUCAAAUUUAAAAUCUGUCAGUCUUUGGCUGUCCGAGUUGUAAUCUAGAGAAGUGCUAUCUGCGCUGGACCGUGUACAAGUCUCCUGGAAUGGAGCGUCAUAGAGGGUGAGAAUCCCGUCUUUGACACGGAUUGCCAGGGCUUUGUGAUACGCUCUCAAAGAGUCGAGUUGUUUGGGAAUGCAGCUCAAAAUGGGUGGUAAAUUCCAUCUAAAGCUAAAUAUUGGCGAGAGACCGAUAGCGAACAAGUACCGUGAGGGAAAGAUGAAAAGAACUUUGGAAAGAGAGUUAAACAGUACGUGAAAUUGCUGAAAGGGAAACGCUUGAAGUCAGUCGCGUUGUUCAGGGAUCAACCUUGCUUUUGCUUGGUGUACUUCCUGGUUGACGGGUCAGCAUCAAUUUUGACUAUUGGAAAAAGUUCAAAGGAAUGUGGCAUCUUCGGAUGUGUUAUAGCCUUUGGUCGCAUACAAUGGUUGGGAUUGAGGAACUCAGCACGCCGCAAGGCCGGGUUUUAACCACGUACGUGCUUAGGAUGCUGGCAUAAUGGCUUUAAUCGACCCGUCUUGAAACACGGACCAAGGAGUCUAACAUGCCUGCGAGUGUUUGGGUGGAAAACCCGAGCGCGCAAUGAAAGUGAAAGUUGAGAUCCCUGUCGUGGGGAGCAUCGACGCCCGGACCAGACCUUUUGUGACGGUUCCGCGGUAGAGCAUGUAUGUUGGGACCCGAAAGAUGGUGAACUAUGCCUGAAUAGGGUGAAGCCAGAGGAAACUCUGGUGGAGGCUCGUAGCGAUUCUGACGUGCAAAUCGAUCGUCAAAUUUGGGUAUAGGGGCGAAAGACUAAUCG